GUCGUUGUAAUAUUGUGGCAAGUAUUCCCGCCUGUUAGGCGGGUGACCCGGGUUCGAUCCCCGGCAACGGCG
rnacentral:tRNA from 1 species